rfam:Leptospira interrogans serovar Icterohaemorrhagiae str. Verdun HP ctg1130173210174, whole genome shotgun sequence.
AGAGAACUUCUAUAAAAUUGAUUUUUAAUUUUUGUUGAUAGUCGCCAAACAACGACUUGAUGCAAAAAUCUAAUUGGAUAAUUAUCCUUUUUAAAUUUUGUAAAGGCUCUCAAUAAAUAAACACAGCAAAUACACAAAAUGAAAACUUCAAAUAAAACAAUUAGAGUGAGUGUUUAUGAAGAAAAUAUUUUGUAUUUCGAUUUUU